UUUAGUCUUUUUUUUCCCCUUGUUGUUCUUUUGUCAGGCGUUGAAAAUAAUAGGGGGUUUUUUUCCAGGUGUUUUCUUUUGUUUUUUCUGGUCUUUUUGGGGGGGUUUUCCUCACAGUCCUUACUGUUUCUGCACUCAGUACUAAACAUGGAUUCAUCUGAACAAGAGAAGAAUGGUGUUACAGAAGGAAAAAAUGGGGCUCCUGAGCCUGACGCUUUGCCACCUCCCCUCCAGUUCCUCCAAAUGUUACCCCUAUCAAGGCUGAACAAGAACCUGCCAAGAAAAGGCUUCGAGUUCCAAUGGCAAGACGUGGCCUGGGAACCAAAGGCCAAAAGAUUCAACUGCUAACUAAUCAUUUUAAAGUGGCUGUGAAGAAUGUUGAUGGCCAGUUCUUUCACUACAGCGUUGCACUUUUCUAUGAAGAUGGUCGGCCUGUGGAUGGAAAGGGUAUUGGUAGACGAGUCCUCGAUAGGGUACAGGAGACCUAUGACACUGAAUUAGCUGGUAAGGAGUUUGCUUAUGAUGGAGAAAAGAGUUUAUUUACCGUUGGCCCUUUGCCACGAAACAAGCUUGAGUUUACAGUUGUGCUUGAGGAUGUUACUUCAAACAGGAACACCGGAAAUUCUAGCCCGGGGGCCAUGAAAGUCCAAAUGAUGGUGACAGAAAAAGGUUAAGGAGGCCAUAUCAAUCUAAGACUUUUAAAGUGGAGAUAAGCUUUGCUGCCAAGAUUCCCAUGCAAGCAAUUGGAAAUGCAUUACGUGGACAGGAGACAGAGAACUCUCAGGAAGCCUUGCGAGUACUGGAUAUCAUCUUGAGGCAGCAUGCAGCAAAACAGGGUUGCCUGCUUGUUCGCCAAUCUUACUUUCAUAAUGAGCCAGGAAUUUUGCUGAUGUUGGAGGCGGUGUUCUUGGUUGUCGUGGAUUUCACUCUAGCUUCCGAACCACUCAGGGCGGCUUGUCUUUAAAUAUUGACGUCUCUACAACCAUGAUAAUCCAGCCUGGGCCAGUGGUCGACUUCUUAAUAGCCAACCAGAAUGUGAGAGAUCCAUAUUCCAUUGACUGGGUUAAGGCCAAACGGGUACUAAAGAACUUGAGGGUGAAGACUAGUCCAACAAAUCAAGAAUACAAAAUAACAGGGUUGAGUGAAAAACCAUGCAAGGAUCAGAUGUUUUCGCUGAAGCAAAGAAGCAGGGAUGAUGAUGGUGAGGUUCAAACUGUAGAAGUGUCUGUCUAUGAUAUUUUGUCAACUACCGGAUAUAGAAUUGCGCUAUUCUGGUGAUCUUCCUUGUAUAAAUGUUGGAAAACCAAAACGGCCUACAUACUUCCCUAUUGAGCUAUGCUCUUUGGUGUCCUUGCAACGUUAUACAAAAGCUCUGUCCACCUUCCAAAGAGCUUCCUUAGUGGAGAAGUCAAGGCAAAAGCCCCAAGAGAGGAUGAGUACUUUGACUACUGCUCUGAAAAUCAACAAUUAUGAUGAGGAGCCUCUUCUUCGUUCGUGUAGCAUUACCAUCAGCAGAAAUUUCACUGAGGUUGAUGGUCGAGUCCUUCCAGCUCCAAGGGUAUGCUAUUAUAUUGUUGAAAUUGGAAAUGGAGAAGAUUUCUUCCCUCGAAAUGGAAGGUGGAACUUUAAUAACAAGAGACUACUUCAACCUGCUAAGAUUGAAAAGUGGGCCAUAGUGAACUUCUCUGCACGCUGUGAUAUUCGUGGCCUUGUCAGAGAUUUCAUGAAAUGUGGGGAAAUGAAAGGAAUUGAUGUGGAAUCCCCAUUUGAUGUAUUUGAAGAGAAUCAGCAAUACAGACGAGCACCCCCUCUUGUAAGGGUGGAAAAGAUGUUUGAAGAGAUUCAGGCUAAACUUCCAGGGGCACCUAAGUUCCUUUUGUGUCUCCUUCCAGAGAGGAAAAACUGUGAUCUCUAUGCUCCUUGGAAAAAGAAGAAUUUGUCUGAGUAUGAUAUUGUUACUCAAUGCAUGGCUCCUACCAGAGUUAAUGACCAGUAUCUUACAAACCUUCUCCUUAAGGUCAAUGCAAAGCUUGGUGGAUUAAACUCUCUGUUAGCUGUUGAACAUUCUCCUUCAAUCCCUGUAGUAUCCAAGAUUCCAACCCUAAUUCUUGGAAUGGAUGUUUCACACGCUCUCCUGGACAGUCUGAUAUCCCAUCUAUUGCUGCAGUUGUCAGCUCGAGACAGUGGCCACUAAUUUCAAAUAUAGAGCAUCUGUGCGUACGCAAUCCCCAAAGCUUGAGAUGAUUGAUACCCUUUACAAACGUGUUUCAGACACUGAGGAUGACGGGAUCCUUCGGGAAGCUUUGCUUGAUUUCUACGUAAGCUCUGGCAAAAGAAAGCCUGAUCAGAUUAUUAUAUUCAGGGAUGGGGUCAGCGAGUCGCAGUUCAAUCAAGUUCUGAACAUUGAACUGGAUCAAAUUAUUGAGGCUUGCAAGUUUCUUGAUGAGAAUUGGUCUCCAAAAUUUGUGGUCAUUGUGGCUCAAAAGAAUCACCAUACAAAGUUCUUCCAGCCGAAUGCACCAGAAAAUGUUCCCCCAGGGACGAUAAUUGAUAAUAAAGUAUGUCAUCCCAAGAACUAUGACUUCUACCUGUGCGCUCAUGCUGGCAUGAUUGGAACCACAAGACCCACCCACUAUCAUGUUCUGUUAGAUGAAGUGGGGUUCUCACCAGAUGAUCUCCAGGAGCUUGUACAUUCCCUGUCAUAUGUGUACCAGAGGAGCACUACUGCCAUCUCUGUGGUUGCUCCAAUAUGCUAUGCCCAUUUGGCUGCUACCCAGCUGGGGCAAUGGAUGAAGUUUGAAGACACAUCAGAGACCUCUUCAAGCCAUGGUGGGGUGUCUCAUGCUGGUUCUGUCCCUGUUCCCCAGUUGCCGCGCCUGAAGGAAAACGUCUGCAAUUCGAUGUUCUUUUGUUGAAAGCUUCUGAUUCCUUUUUGAUGCUUUACUGAAACUUUCGGUCAGUCUUGGACAAAAUGCUUGUACUUGUAAAUAGUUCUUGGCGCGAACCUGUUGUAGUUAGGUCGCUAAAUUAUGAAGCAAGUUAUCUUGCAAGUCCUAGCUUUCUUUUUAGGUCUAUAGCCAUGCAUGCAGGUGUGCCAUGCAUUGUUUUGUUUUUUCUUUUACUCUGCUGCAGCUACUUGCUUGUUCUGUGGCUUAAAUUGCAUGGAUUCCUGACAUUAUUCUAUGGCAGUGACUCUCAUCCCAGUUUGAUAUUGUAGUGCAA